UAAGGAAUAUUGGUCAAUGGGCGGAAGCCUGAACCAGCCAUGCCGCGUGCAGGAUGACUGCCCUAUGGGUUGUAAACUGCUUUUGUCCAGGAAUAAACCUUUCUACGUGUAGGAAGCUGAAUGUACUGGAAGAAUAAGGAUCGGCUAACUCCGUGCCAGCAGCCGCGGUAAUACGGAGGAUCCGAGCGUUAUCCGGAUUUAUUGGGUUUAAAGGGUGCGUAGGCGGCCUAUUAAGUCAGGGGUGAAAUACGGUGGCUCAACCAUCGCAGUGCCUUUGAUACUGAUGGGCUUGAAUCCAUUUGAAGUGGGCGGAAUAAGACAAGUAGCGGUGAAAUGCAUAGAUAUGUCUUAGAACUCCGAUUGCGAAGGCAGCUCACUAAGCUGGUAUUGACGCUGAUGCACGAAAGCGUGGGGAUCGAACAGGAUUAGAUACCCUGGUAGUCCACGCCCUAAACGAUGAUAACUCGAUGUUGGCGAUAGACAGCCAGCGUCCAAGCGAAAGCGUUAAGUUAUCCACCUGGGGAGUACGCCCGCAAGGGUGAAACUCAAAGGAAUUGACGGGGUCAUAGCUGUUU
rnacentral:rRNA from 1 species